rnacentral:tRNA from 7 species
GCGGGCGUAGCUCAGUGGUAGAGCAGCUGCCUUCCAAGCAGCAGGCCGCGGGUUCGAGUCCCGUCGCCCGCU